GCCACUUUAGCUCAGUUGGUAGAGCAUUCGAUUCGUAAUCGAAAGGUCAUCAGUUCGACUCUGAUAAGUGGCUCCA
rnacentral:tRNA from 1 species